GAAAUGCGAUAAGUAAUGUGAAUUGCAGAAUUCAGUGAAUCAUCGAAUCUUUGAACGCACCUUGCGCUCCUUGGUAUUCCUUGGAGCAUGCCUGUUUGAGUAUCAUGAAAUCUUCAAAGUAAAUCUUUUGUUAACUCAAUUGGUUUCUACUUUGGUAUUGGAGGUCUUUGCAGCUUCACACCUGCUCCUCUUUGUUCAUUAGCUGGAUCUCAGUGUUAUGCUUGGUUCCACUCGGCGUGAUAAGUUAUCUAUCGCUGAGGACACUGUAAAAGGUGGCCAAGGUAAAUGCAGAUGAACCGCUUCGAAUAGUCCAUUGACUUGGACAAUACUUUUAUGAUCUGAUCUCAAAUCAGGUAGGACUACCCGCUGAACUUAAGC
rnacentral:misc_RNA from 1 species